UGCAAGUCGAGCGGAUGAAGGUAGCUUGCUACUGGAUUCAGCGGCGGACGGGUGAGUAAUGCCUAGGAAUCUGCCUGGUAGUGGGGGACAACGUUUCGAAAGGAACGCUAAUACCGCAUACGUCCUACGGGAGAAAGCAGGGGACCUUCGGGCCUUGCGCUAUCAGAUGAGCCUAGGUCGGAUUAGCUAGUUGGUGAGGUAAUGGCUCACCAAGGCGACGAUCCGUAACUGGUCUGAGAGGAUGAUCAGUCACACUGGAACUGAGACACGGUCCAGACUCCUACGGGAGGCAGCAGUGGGGAAUAUUGGACAAUGGGCGAAAGCCUGAUCCAGCCAUGCCGCGUGUGUGAAGAAGGUCUUCGGAUUGUAAAGCACUUUAAGUUGGGAGGAAGGGCAGUAAGUUAAUACCUUGCUGUUUUGACGUUACCGACAGAAUAAGCACCGGCUAACUCUGUGCCAGCAGCCGCGGUAAUACAGAGGGUGCAAGCGUUAAUCGGAAUUACUGGGCGUAAAGCGCGCGUAGGUGGUUUGUUAAGUUGGAUGUGAAAGCCCCGGGCUCAACCUGGGAACUGCAUCCAAAACUGGCAAGCUAGAGUACGGUAGAGGGUGGUGGAAUUUCCUGUGUAGCGGUGAAAUGCGUAGAUAUAGGAAGGAACA
rnacentral:rRNA from 1 species